ensembl:misc_RNA Metazoa_SRP Metazoan signal recognition particle RNA
GCCAGGCAUGGUGGCUCAUGCCUGUAAUCCCAGCACUUUGGGAGGCUGAGGCAGGUGGAUCACCUGAGGUCAGGAGUUCAAGACCAGCCUGGCCAACAUGGUGAAACCCCGUCUCUA